rnacentral:rRNA from 1 species
UACAGAGGGUGCAAGCGUUGUUCGGAAUUAUUGGGCGUAAAGCGCGUGUAGGCGGCUUUGCAAGUCGGGUGUGAAAGCCCUCAGCUCAACUGAGGAAGUGCGCCCGAAACUGCAGAGCUUGAGUACCGGAGAGGGUGGCGGAAUUCCCCAAGUAGAGGUGAAAUUCGUAGAUAUCGGGAGGAACACCGGUGGCGAAGGCGGCGACCUGGGUCGAGACUGACGCUGAGGCGCGAAAGCGUGGGGAGCAAACAGG